GAUGAACGCUAGCGGCAGGCCUAACACAUGCAAGUCGAACGGUAACAGGUCUAGCAAUACAUGCUGACGAGUGGCGCACGGGUGCGUAACACGUAUGUAACUUACCUCUAACUGGGGAAUAGCUUCGAGAAAUCGAAAUUAAUGUCCCAUAGUAAUUCGGUCCGGCAUCGGAUUGAAUUUAAAGCUCAGGCGGUUAGAGAUAGACAUGCGUCCUAUUAGCUUGUUGGUGAGGUAACGGCUCACCAAGGCUACGAUAGGUAGGGGCCUGAGAGGGUUAUCCCCCACACUGGAACUGAGACACGGUCCAGACUCCUACGGGAGGCAGCAGUGAGGAAUAUUGGUCAAUGGUCGCAAGACUGAACCAGCCAUGCCGCGUGCAGGAUGAAGGCCCUAUGGGUUGUAAACUGCUUUUCUCAGGGAAUAAACCCUUCUACGUGUAGAAGGCUGAAGGUACCUGAGGAAUAAGCACCGGCUAACUCCGUGCCAGCAGCCGAC
rnacentral:rRNA from 1 species